rnacentral:misc_RNA from 1 species
CUCAUAAUGAUCGUAUCGAACACGCAGAAAAAAAAGCAACUGCUAAUCGGAAAACCGAUCUUCGCCGUAAUUUCCGCGAUGGGAAGAUAAUUCAACGAGCGCACUAUUAGUUGCGUUCCUAUUCACCGUCAUUUGACUUUUUGCGUCCAGCUGCGCGGCAAAAAGCGCAGGUGGAUCAAGUUUUUUCUCAGGCUGAUUCAGCAGAUUCAAGCGAUUAAUAGGCGAACCUUUCAGAAUCAAUUUUGCGAUCGGUGCAGAUUGACUGCGCUUCCAAUCGUGACUCCUAAUCGAAUAUUAUCUAUGCACGACAAAAAAAAGGGCAUUAAUGACCUGCGCGUGUUCUUUGUUAUACUCCAAUCGAUUAUGCUGCCCGUCAGCACUGUGAAUUGCCAAUGUGAUGCUUGGAUCGACAACUAUGCCGUUAAUAAUCGCCGUUCUCUACGCGAUGUAACAAAAAUACGCAUGUACAUACACUGACGAAGCAUGGAAGCAAUACACAAAUUUCCCAUAUUAAGAAAAAGGGGAAAUUCUUUCAUCUUUAUGCCGUCAAAAUCGAUAUUUAUUUUAAUAAGUUGAAGAAAUGUAAUACGUUUGACAGAAAAGAGACGUAAACCUAAAAAGCAAGAUGAAAGGAAAUCGGUGUCGACAAUCUGUAAACAAGAAAUUUGUACAGUUGCUUAAAUUCCAUAGUAAAUUUUUACUGCCACGAGAGUGCCGUCUGUCAUCGAGCAAAUAGAAUUGUUAAGAACGUUCGGGCAAAGAUAUUUAUCUGUGGGUAUUUUCUUUUCGGCUUCGCUUGACAGGUAGGAGAUACCCGAGGAUACCAUAGAAUCGUGGUGGGCUCGCAUCUGGAUCCGUAGGUAUCGGUCGACCGCAGGAGGGCAAUAAGUGUAUAUUUAGAGUAGGAGUAAAGGAGCAAGCGGUAAAAUUGGACACAAGCCAUUAAUUAUCGAAGGACAAGAGUCCUGGGAGAGAAGCCUGGCUGUUUUCGGUCAUUCCCGCCCCCUUUCCCUGCCUCGUUAUCCUCUGAUUACCGAUCUCUCUAUCUCUCUCCUCUCCUCUCUCGCAGAAGGGCCCUUAAACAUCGCUAUUGGUGGUCCCGGGGUUGCGAGUUUUAGCAAGGUGGUCCGGUAUUAAAUCAUAAAUGUCAGCAGGAGAGUGAAGAAGUGGGAGGGUGCAUCCUUCCGUCGAAAUAUUAUUGCGGUGGUAACUGACGUGUGUGCCGCUGAGGGUUUCUUAUGUCUCGCUCGGCCUGUGCUCGCACGAGUAAUCAACACGAUUAUUCACGCGGAAUGAUAUUUGAUUAAAGUAACAUCUUAAUUUCCAGUCGCUCGUAAAUCACAGCUGUUACCGUAUAAUUUCUGUUCUUAAACAUACAUCUCGGGUUUAUGCGUGUAGAUAUUCGAUACGUUUGUCAGUACAUUUAUGUAUUCUUUUAUAAUGAAAAUAAUGUCAUAAAACAUUUAAUUGUAAUUUAUUUAUUCUUUUUAAUUCUCAACUUUCACUUCAGCAUCGAUUUUUAUUUGUAAUGCAAAUAUCUAUAGUAGCCAGGCAAUAAAGAGUAUUUCAAAGUUGAAAUCACUCCUUCGCAAUUGUCCGUACAGCAUCGGCUUUCUCCGCGUCUCUCGUUUUAUCGCGCGACCUCUCAUUUGCGUAACAACCGUUUGUUGAGCGAUACGAUCUCGAUUGUAAAGGGGAAAAAUACUAUGGCUUAUAUAUGGCCUGUUCCCGUAUCUUGAAUCCGUUUCCGGUAAUAACGUAUGCUGCGGUAGACCCUGAGUAACUAUCGGUCGAAACGCAGAUGAGAAAUUCCUAUCGCGGGAUUUCACACUCAAUUAAUUCUGAGUUUAAACGCAACCCACUAUUUCACAGUUCAUUAUUGCAUAUACGUGCAGCUCUGCUACAUGUUUGCCAGUCUUAAAUUUACGUAUAAUGAAUAUGCAAUAAAUAAAAUUUAUACAUUUUCUCUCCUUCUGGUUUCCAGAGUUAUGGCAAAAAUUAAAAUUAAAAUUAAAAAGAUUACGUGCAUACGUGUUGAAAACUACGAAUCUACGUUAAUAAGAAAUCCUAGAAAUGCGCGAAUGUUAUUAAAUUUUUGCACGUGUCUAAAUAAAUUUAAUGAGUUGAGGAAACUCUUUGUUACUACCAAAAGAUAUUAUUCUUCAUAUGUAUGAUCUAUAGUAAAAAGUAUUAAAAAAAUAUUUGACACAAAAUCACGUUUGUGAUAUUCUCGAUUAACUUUGCUCAUACUAAGAGAAUGCGUACAGGUCUCUUGAUAUUGUUGUCAAUUCAGUUUUCGACAUGGUGCCGAGAGCUCUGAAAGCGUAGAAAGUCCAGUGUCCGCCUUGGCUUUUACCUAAUCGCGACGGGGUCAGUGCGGAGGCAUCGCGAGAAUGGCGAUCAAUGUGAUGGGCUAUCUGUCGGUGUUUCUCGUGAAAGCGGCAUUCCCAAACGACGCUGGUUCGGGGAACGAACGGGCAUUCGGUAUCUCGAGGAGGCCUCUUCUUCGCGGCGUGUCGUCGAGCGUACACGCAUGCAUACGCACACAGGCGCACUUUGUCCGGUACACACUCUUGACGAUGGGCCUCUGAAGUUUACCAGUGAUUCGCUUGGUCAAAUACGUGUGAAUACACACAUGUACGUACACACACACAUACAACAUGACGCAUGCACGCACGCACGCACGCACGAAACCAUCUCCUUCUUUCCCUUGCUCUUUAGGAAGAGUGAAAGACAAAGUUUUUCUCUUCCCCGUUGAUGCACGAGAAUACCCCUCUCUUAGCCUCCUUCUCUCUCCACUUAUUUCAACCCGGACCAACUUCCCUUUCCGUCGUACGAAGCGACGGAAGCUCUCCUUGCGUCCGUGAUUUUUGACGAACAAGAGUUUAAGAGUAACUCUUCCGGAUAACUCAUUAUCACUAUAUUCACUAAAUUUGAUUGCUUGCUGUACUCAUGGAAGAUUGUGAAAGCCCAUCGUAUUUCUUCGAAUAGCGCGUUGCAUUACGACGUGCACGCAGGAACGUGUUGCGAGUGCAUCGGCGCGCGUGCAGCUCACACGUGUAGCAUUCUGAUCGCGUCGGUACUUCAAUCUAGACUUGGCAAUACAUUCUGUGAGAUGCGUAUCUAUUCUUCAUUAGGUUUCAGCUAUAUAUAUAUUAGCAACGUGUAGACGAAACACACAUCUCUGAGAAGUAAUCUUGGAAAGAAUGAAUGAAACAACAAAGGAAAUGCUAAUAGUAUUUUAAUGUUACUAAAUUAGUUACUUUAUUACUUAUUUAUUAUUAUAUAGGCGGGAGAAAGGACUGUACUCCGGGAUUCUAUCAGACCGGUUAAAACAAUAAACUAUUUCCAGCGGAGAAAUGAUAUGAUAUGUUUUGGAUAUAUUAAUGUGAUAUAUUUCGAUUUCUCGUACAGUCGGUUCGAGUCAGGAUUUCGGACUAACUGUUUUGUUGUCUCUCGUUUUUCCAUCUUUGUGUAACGGGUGUUCGUCAAAAGGUGUUUUCCCAAAUCCUCCAAUAGCACAUCGACCCCGUCAACUUAUUUGUCUCGCGUUACAAAUAUCAUUCUCAGGUGUGUGUCUUAAAGCAGAGUUGGCGCCAUGGUUACCUAUGUAUCCCUGAUCGAAUAAAAUACGCCUACAAUUAAUUGACUACAAAAUUGUAUACUUUGAUCGAAAAAUACAUCCAUCAUCUGGUAGUCUAGCGUAUAAGCUCUUUCUCUUUCUCUCCCGAUACCACCUGCAACAACUAUUUAUACGCGUUUCGCGGAUCCCGUGUCGCGCAUACGCUCGCACCCGCGCGCGUUCUCUCUCUCUCUCUCUCCCUCUUUCUUGACUCGCGUUUACUCUUUCGACUCUCUCAAGGAGGGAAACUCUCCGCCGCUUCUUCUCCUCCUCCUCUUCCUUGACCAGUGCCACCACCAGAACCACCACCACUACUACCGUCACUUUACGUCUUCUCUUAUCUCUCUCUUUCUCUCCAUCUCUCUCGGCAACCGUGCGCGAUCCUCGUUACUCCGCGUUGGCACGGUGGUGGAACUCGCAACGGAACUUCAGUGCAGCUGCGGCGAGCAGCUGACGCGGUAUCAUUCAGAUUGGUAGUAGAGUUCGCGCCGCGACACCACACGGACACGCAGUCAGUGCGCGGCGUACGUAGGGCACGCACGCAGGGCACUCACGCAAGGUGGAUCCUACCGCCUCCCAGGGCACACGCGCAUCUCGCACUCGUCGCAAAUGAGCUCGCGUCGCGAGCGCGCGCGCGAGGGAAACGCUCCUGCUGCCGGUCGUCGUGACUGUGUCUUCUUGGUCGCAAACAGUGCGGUGUGGCGUCGUUAUUGCCGCCGUCAUCGUCAUCGCGUGAAUCUGCGACGAGGUGCACCGGCUGCGGCGGCAAUCCGCGGCCACGAUAGAUUCGGCGGUUCUUCGGAGGAAAACUGUUAAAAGCACGGGCGAACGCGCGGCGACGACGAGUGCGCGCGCCGACGAGGCAAUAUCCACAGUAAAUCGCAAGUUUGUAACUGAAUACGGAAUCCGUUGUACUUAAAGAUGCAGUUAACACGAUUAUCUUCGACACCACUGAUUUUGGCUUUGGCCCUGGCCUUCCUUUCGACGGCAUGUCGUUGCGACGCCGGGGAAAGUAUAGUAGGAAGACGGGAGACUUGCGAUCUCGAAGGAGAAGACGUCACUGUCGACAAAAUCCUGAAUACGAGUUGCUACCGAUGCAUUUGUAAGAACGGAUUUGUGGAGUGUUUGAAACAACAGUGUCCAAGUGUCGAAGGCUGUUACGCGUUACUGGAACCGCGCAACAACGAGUGCUGCUACAGGUGCACAGGAUGCAUACGGAACGGCGUUUAUCACGCAUCGGACACAGAAUGGACAGAAGGGAACGACCCGUGCCGAAUAUUCACCUGCAAAGCGGGAGUUGUCACUGAAUCGAAACUACGAUGUUACACGCCUUGCUCCAAUCCGAUACCAGCCGCACCUGGUCAAUGUUGCCCCGUAUGUGCAGGAUGCUUCGUGAAUGGGCAAAAGGUCACGGCGGAUAGAUCAGUGACAACGACGGAGGAUCCCUGCGUAACCUGCAGGUGCAAUGACGGACGGCUCACCUGUGCAAAGCAAGCUUGUCCGGCACUCAAUUGUCUUACUUCGAAGAUUGUUCACGAUCCUGGCGAAUGCUGCCCGCACUGUCGAGGUAGUGCAAAAUAUUUCUCGCCUCCGAAAGGUGCGUGCAUGCUCGGGACGCAUUUGUACAAAUCGGGCAGCCAGUUUUACGUGGAUCAUUGCACGCGUUGCACCUGCGCCAAUUCGGCGAUCUCGUGUAUCAAAGAGACCUGUCCAGUGUUGGAAUGUCCCAGCGAGCAUCAGAUGACCGUACCCGGUCAGUGUUGUCCGCAGUGUCCGCUCGUUGAAGAGAGCAAGGCUUCUUGCUCUUAUGGUGGAAGAACUUACGAGGAUGGCGAAUCUUGGAAGCUUGAUUCCUGCAAGGCAUGCGCCUGCAAACAAGGCAAAGUGCGCUGCGCAAUGCCUAUGUGUCCGCAGUUAAAUCUACCUUGCCCGCCGAAUUCGAAGUUGCAACAUCCGGAGGGUCAAUGUUGUCCGCGAUGCGUCGAGAGUGAUGGUGUUUGUACAGUUUUCGGGGACCCGCACUAUCGUACCUUCGAUGGUAAAUUAUACAGCUUCAAAGGAGCGUGCAAGUAUCAGUUAGUCAGUGAUUGUGUCGAUCAUACUUUUAGCAUACGUGUAACUAACGAUGCUCGAAAAACAAAGUCUUCAGCGUGGACUAAAACAGUCGCCAUAAAGAUCGGCGACUUGAAAGUGAACCUUGGUCAGAAAAUGAGAGUGAAGGUGAACGGGAAGAGGGUGGACGUUCCUUAUCGCAUUGCUAACCGAGUGGACAUCAACCGUACGGUCGACAGCGUGAUCGUCAAUACGCAGAUUGGGAUCAAGGUCCUCUGGGACAGUAUCAGCUUUCUCGAAGUGUCCGCACCUUCGUCAUACAGGAGUCGGCUGUGCGGUCUCUGCGGUAACUUCAAUUCCCAGAUCAAGGACGACUUUACUACGCGACGCGGCCGACUACUGCAAGAUCCACAACAGUUUGGUCAAUCCUGGACCGUGGGCGCCAAGAAGAUGUGCAGUCGAGCUCCAAGAAUCGGAAAUGGCGACAAGGAGAAACGUUGUCGAGGAAGAAAGGAUCACCGAUUAUGCAAUCGACUGAGAUCACAAAUCUUCGAUCCUUGUCACAAAAAGGUGAACCCGGCGAUGUACUACAAGGCCUGCCUACAAGACAUGUGCGAGUGCCCGACCGAGCAUUGCUACUGUGAGGUUUUCAUGGCAUACGCGCACGAGUGCAAGCGGCUUGGCAUUCAACUGCCACACUGGCGAAAGGCCACGAGAUGUCGGACCGUUUGGGACCAGUCGACGAGUCCGGCGACGAAUCUUGCUCGCCGUUUACAUUAAUCGCGCACUUUACCCGUCGUCAGGUUCGGCCUCUAGAAACUCUAUCUCGAAGGCAAAAACGCUCACACUGAAAUUCGCGUACAUUUUAUCUGCAUUUAGAGAAAUUUUAUGCCCUUUGUUUUUUUCUUUUCUUCUCGAGUAUCUCGAGAAGAAAAAAUUAACAUUUUGCUAUCGGAUAAUAGCAAAAAGGAGACAUUAAUUAAAGUAAACUAAAGUAAAUAUGCAAUUUAGUGUGCGAUCCUAUUUUAAUAUACAGGCCUUUAAAGGGCGUCAGUUUAAAAAGAAAUUUUGCUUGGAACUUAAAAUGUUGGCUUCCAUCAAAAUCAUGCAUUUUGCACCAAGUAAGAUAGUUAAUAUUUAUUAUUUUUUGAUACUUCAUAUUUAAGCAACAGCUCACAAGCAGAUGCGAAUAAUAAUACGAAGAACAAAGCGCUCUUCUAAUGGCCUGUAACACAUUAAUAUUGCGACUUAAUUCGAAAUAAGUAUUCAUAAAUGCUUAUUUAUUCGUCAAGCAACCGGUAGAGCACCGCGGUACUUAUAAGACUGUUGUCUAUAAUGAGAAACAGCAAUGGAUUAAUUAUUAAUGCGAUAGAAAAUGUUUUACCGCACACAUCUUGGUGUGCAAAUGCAGCAUGAGCGAUGGAUCGCCAUCGCCAUCAGAUUAAUUGUAUUAUAUCAUGACAAACAUAAAUUUUACAAACGCAGUUAAAUUUCAUCUAGUUUCACAAAUUAUACAUAUUAUACAUUACACAUAUUACACAUUACACAUGCCUCCUCUUUGAUAUCUUCCGCGAUAUUAUUUCUUCUUCUAUUCCUGGGAGCUCUUUCUGCCUACGAGAAUGCACAGACCGGACACGGACGGUGGAGUGCUCGGCGAGAAUCUGCUAGUCACCACUUCGUAUCAAUAUACAUUAACGUCAGAGUCUCUGACUCGAACGUCUCUAAUAACGACUGUUCAUCGAUGUAGAGUAGCGGCAAUUUCGCGCUCACUCGCACGGAAAUCUCACACGGGUCACAGCAGCACAAGUACGCAGCCAUGACGCCCAGGAAACAUGGAUCUCACGUGUGUAUGUGUGUGUCUCAAGAUUUCAUGCGGAAUUCCAUAGAUCCGACAAAAGCAUCGCGAGUGAAGUCGCUCGCGCACUUAGGAACGUGUGUAGCGCGGAAAAUGAAUGGCUUUUGUGUGUCGCAGCGUGGAACACAAAAAAUGCAAAUUUAUAAUUUACACUUGACGCUAAGUAUAGUUCAAUUCUGAAUCUUACAUAGAUAUAAGCUUGCGUAUGCUGUUAUCACAAAUCGAGGAUGACACCUUUAAUGCUAGACAUCCUAUACGUGCGCGUAUGAUACGUUUUAUGAAACUAUUAUCGAAUAAAUGCGAUAUAUAGUAAUUAACGAAAUUGCAUCAUUGAUUAAAUGAUUGUAAUUUGGUAAUUCUCACUAGCAUUAGAAGAGGGAAAGAGGAAGAGAGAGAGAGAGAGAGAGAAUUUAUAUUUUAAUAACUGCGAAUUUGUUAUAUACUUCACCGAGACAUAUAUAUGACCACCUAAAAAUAUAAUAGAUGCAUUUGCUAGAAUAGAGCCCUAUCGGGCAAUAUGUUAAUGACAUGAGAACAGUAUGCUCGCGAAAUUGUGAGGACGACUUUUGUAAGUAGCAGCAAGUGGCGACGUCUUAUUUCAGAGCACCGUGCAGUAUUUCGGCCGAUGAGCAGGCUCGCGGCAUAGUGUGUAUGUACAUCUCAGUUUAAUGCAAGCAAAUUACGUGUCGAUCGAUUAUACAUGUAUACAUGCAUAUACAUGCCAUACGUACAUCCGUGGAUUCGAAAAUUCAUAAAUCUAUUGUUUCGCAGAUCCUUACUUUCAGGAUUCUAAAAUUCAGAAUUGCAAUCCGUAAAUAAUCUAUCAUUUUGCGAAUUCAUCGAUUUAGAUCUAUGCACAUCUAAAUUUGUUCACGUGUGGUUUCACAAAUUCGUGGAAACUUGUGAUUUCAUUUGCAGAUUCGUUUUCAUCAAGUAUAAGUUUUCUUACGUUUCUGUAAGAUCCACGAUCUUAUAAAUUUCUGUACAUCAUCUUGAUUCGUAGAUCCGUAGUAUUUCUAUGCAAAUCUUUAAAUUCACAAGUCCGCAGUUUGUCAAACUCUUACGUCACUCUUUUCGUCACGAAUAGAAUUAAGAGGGAGCGUUUUCUCCCGUUUCGUCUCUUUGACGACGAAUAUACUUUUUUAUAUUCUACACGUAUUCUUUACGUAGCGCAUAACGUAGACUUUUACCGUAGCUCUAGCAAGGCGUUUGCAAAUUGUACAUAGGAAGAUGCGAUUAUUAAAGUUAAACGAGCACUAAUCAUGGUUACUACUAACGUGCCACGAUUGUCAAUAGCUCCUCACUUACUAUCUCCAUUUUUAUUACGUUUCUGCGUUUAAGCUCGUCUUCUUUUCUUUUCCGACUAAUUUUCCUCUUACUUUUAUAAAAUCAUUACGAAUACUUUGCUAAAUAGUUUUCGUAUAGAGCUAUCUUUUAUGGAAACAGCAACGAGGGGGCGACUUUUUCAUUUAGCGAAACUGUACAUAGCCAAAAAAUACACUGUAAUUAAUAAUUACCGAUGAGUUUCGACGAUGAAUCAAACGAACUCUGUAUACUGGUUAGUUCAAAGCAUUAGUCAAUUUUUGUUAAAUCUAGAGCUCUAGCGUAUAACGAGAGUAUGAGCGUAAUAAAUGAAUUACAUUUAUAACUUUCGUAAAA